GACGAACGCUGGCGGCGUGCUUAACACAUGCAAGUCGAACGGAAAGGCCCUGCUUUUGUGGGGUGCUCGAGUGGCGAACGGGUGAGUAACACGUGAGUAACCUGCCCUUGUCUUUGGGAUAACUUCAGGAAACUGGGGCUAAUACCGGAUAGGAGCUCCUGCUGCAUGGUGGGGGGUGGAAAGUUUCGGCGGUUGUGGAUGGUCUCGCGGCUGAUGAGCUUGUUGGUGGGGUAGUGGCUUACCAAGGGUUUGACGGGUAGCCGGCCUGGGAGGGUGGCCGGCGACAUAGGGCCUAGGAUACGGCGCAGGCUCGUAGGGGAGACAAUAGUGGGGAGUGUGGAACAAUGAGGGGGAGCCGGAGGGAGAGGCGUUGCGUGCGGGAUGCCGGCCUUCGGGUUGGAAACCGCUUUAGCCUGAGACGUGGCGGUAGUGACGGUAGUGGGUAAAGAAGCACCGGCUAACUACGUG
rnacentral:rRNA from 1 species